GGCCCCAUAGCUUAGUCUGGUUGAGCGCUGGUCUUAUAAGCCAGAGGUCCUGAGUUCAAACACAGAUCUCCCAGAUCUGGUAGGGGGAUUCGCGGUCACUGCGUUCCCGCUCAUAAGGUUUGGGUGUCUUUGAAAGUCUCGGUGGGGCCA
rnacentral:tRNA from 1 species